AAUACCACCCUUUAAUGUUUGAUGUUCUAACGUGGACCCGUAAUCCGGGUUGCGGACAGUGUCUGGUGGGUAGUUUGACUGGGGCGGUCUCCUCCUAAAGAGUAACGGAGGAGCACGAAGGUUGGCUAAUCCUGGUCGGACAUCAGGAGGUUAGUGCAAUGGCAUAAGCCAGCUUGACUGCGAGCGUGACGGCGCGAGCAGGUGCGAAAGCAGGUCAUAGUGAUCCGGUGGUUCUGAAUGGAAGGGCCAUCGCUCAACGGAUAAAAGGUACUCCGGGGAUAACAGGCUGAUACCGCCCAAGAGUUCAUAUCGACGGCGGUGUUUGGCACCUCGAUGUCGGCUCAUCACAUCCUGGGGCUGAAGUAGGUCCCAAGGGUAUGGCUGUUCGCCAUUUAAAGUGGUACGCGAGCUGGGUUUAGAACGUCGUGAGACAGUUCGGUCCCUAUCUGCCGUGGGCGCUGGAGAACUGAGGGGGGCUGCUCCUAGUACGAGAGGACCGGAGUGGACGCAUCACUGGUGUUCGGGUUGUCAUGCCAAUGGCACUGCCCGGUAGCUAAAUGCGGAAGAGAUAAGUGCUGAAAGCAUCUAA
rnacentral:rRNA from 1 species